AGAGUUUGAUCCUGGCUCAGAAUCAACGCUGGCGGCGUGCAUAACACAUGCAAGUCGAACGCGAAAGCCCCGCAAGGGGUGAGUAGAGUGGCAAACGGGUGAGUAACACGUGGGUGACCUGCCUUCGAGCGGGGGAUAACGUCCCGAAAGGGACGCUAAUACCGCAUAACAUCCUGUCUUUCAAGAGACGGUGAUCAAAGCUGGGGAUCGCAAGACCUAGCACUCGAAGAGGGGCCCGCGUCCGAUUAGCUAGUUGGUGAGGUAACGGCUCACCAAGGCAACGAUCGGUAGCCGGCCUGAGAGGGCGGACGGCCACACUGGGACUGAGACACGGCCCAGACUCCUACGGGAGGCAGCAGUGGGGAAUUGUUCGCAAUGGGCGCAAGCCUGACGACGCAACGCCGCGUGGAGGAUGAAGAUCUUCGGGUCGUCAACUCCUUUCGAUCGAGACGAAUUCCUCUGGGGUGAACAAUCCCGGAGGUGACGUACCGAGAGAGAAGCCCCCCC
rnacentral:rRNA from 1 species